UUGAAACGUUGAAGCGCAUGGAUGCAGCUACGCAUCUCAUGCAAAUAUCGCCAGGAAUUCAGGAUUUUCGUCGCUUUUGAGGUAUAUAGCACGUGUGUGUGUGUGUGGUAUAUAAUCGUCCGUACUACGCAUUCUCAUUCUUUAUGCGUCUUUACUCCUGUUCGCACGUAUUCUGAGGAAUGGAAGGUAGAAUGCAGUGAGAUGGUUAUAGCAACUGUGCUUUGGGCAAACGGUUAAACUCGGAAGAAGCGGCAGCGAGCAGAAAUUAAUUGGAUUCGUACGUGGUCGUAACCCAUUCUCGUUUCGAGAAAGUUGGAUGAUGCUUUUACGGAAGAAAGCCUACGCGUUCCCAAUGUGCGAAACAAAAAGUUGUCAUAAUCACAUGAAGAAAUUUCUUGGUCGUCGCAUUGGACAUUUCAAUGACGGCAUGCGACUUACUCUCAAUACUUCUCAGCAAGUAAGUAUGGGAUCCUU